GACGAACGCUGGCGGCGUGCUUAACACAUGCAAGUCGAACGAUGAAGCCGGAGCUUGCUCUGGUGAAUUAGUGGCGAACGGGUGAGUAACACGUGAGUAACCUGCCCUUGACUCUGGGAUAACUGCGGGAAACUGUAGCUAAUACCGGAUACGACCCUCGGAGGCAUCUCCUGGGGGUGGAAAGAAUUUCGGUCAAGGAUGGACUCGCGGCCUAUCAGCUAGUUGGUGAGGUAAAGGCUCACCAAGGCGACGACGGGUAGCCGGCCUGAGAGGGUGACCGGCGACACUGGGACUGGGACACGGCCCAGACUCCUACGGGAGGCAGCAGUGGGGAAUAUUGCACAAUGGGCGCAAGCCUGAUGCAGCAACGCCGCGUGAGGGAUGACGGCCUUCGGGUUGUAAAGCUCUUUUGUCAGGGAAGAGACACCGGCUCUAACACAGUCCGGGAAUGACGGUACCUGAAGAAUAAGCACCGGCUAAC
rnacentral:rRNA from 1 species